CAUAAUUCUGUGCAUCAGUUUUUGAUAAGUACAAACCAGUAGAGCUACAGUCUCGACAGAGACUUCUGGUUAUUUUUUCUUCCAUCCCGGUUGUUGCUAAUGCUAUUACAUAAUUAGUUUAGAUUAGAAUGCAAUAGUACCUGGACAUAAUUUAUCAUUUCAGAGAGAAGAAAACUGUGUGACUUUAAAAGAAAACCAGUGAGAUAAAAUAGAAAAUGUAUGAUGAUUCAGGAUGUGGUCAUUUGGUCUUGUUCUGUGGAUGCCCUAAGACAGUGUCUACCCAUCACUCCAUCUGAAAUCACUUGUUCUGUGCAUAUUUCUCUCUCAAACUUAAACUACAGAGAGCCUGUGGAUAGAGGAUGAAGAGUGACCUUGAACUUAUUUCCUAGGUCAAAGAUCAUAGGUGAUGUGAAGAAAACCAGGAAACUGAUGUUGAAAGAAGUACUUAAUGACCCUUAUGAAUGGACUUAAAUGUGAAAGACUGUUCCAUUGUUUAUCUAAGAUAUAUGAAUUUAUUUAAUAUUUUGAUAUCAUUGA